rnacentral:misc_RNA from 1 species
GAUGAGAACGUAGCGAAAUGCGAUAAGUAAUGUGAAUUGCAGAAUUCAGUGAAUCAUCGAAUCUUUGAACGCACAUUGCGCCCGCUGGUAUUCCGGCGGGCAUGCCUGUUCGAGCGUCAUUUCAACCCUCAAGCUCUCCGGAGUUUGGUGUUGGGGCGCCUGGGGCUUUUCGACCUCAGGGCCCUCAAGUCCAUCGGCGGGACCGCCAGGACACUGAGCGCAGUAGUAUUAUUUCGCUCGGUAGGAUCUUCCACGGCGGGUCGAUCUGGCCGCUAAACCCCCCAAUUCUCACCAAAGGUUGACCUCGGAUCAGGUAGGAAUACCCGCUGAACUUAAGCAUAUCAAUAAGCGGAGGA